UACGGGGGGGGCAAGCGUUGUUCGGCAUUACUGGGCGUAAAGGGCCAGUAGGCGGCCAACUAAGUCGGAUGUGAAAUCCCCAGGCUUAACCUGGGAACUGCAUCCGAUACUGGAUGGCUUGAAUUCGGGAGAGGGAUGCAGAAUUCCAGGUGUAGCGGUGAAAUGCGUAGAUAUCUGGAGGAACACCGGUGGCGAAGGCGGCAUCCUGGACCGGUAUUGACGCUGAUGCGCGAAAGCCAGGGGAGCAAACGGG
rnacentral:rRNA from 1 species